CCUACGGGAGGCUGCAGUGGGGAAUAUUGGACAAUGGGCGAAAGCCUGAUCCAGCCAUGCCGCGUGUGUGAAGAAGGCCUUCGGGUUGUAAAGCACUUUCAGUGGGGAAGAAAGCCUUGGGGCUAAUACCCUCGAGGAAGGACAUCACCCACAGAAGAAGCACCGGCUAACUCCGUGCCAGCAGCCGCGGUAAUACGGAGGGUGCGAGCGUUAAUCGGAAUUACUGGGCGUAAAGCGCGCGUAGGCGGUCUGAUAAGCCGGUUGUGAAAGCCCCGGGCUCAACCUGGGAACGGCGUCCGGAACUGUCAGGCUAGAGUGCAGGAGAGGAAGGUAGAAUUCCCGGUGUAGCGGUGAAAUGCGUAGAGAUCGGGAGGAAUACCAGUGGCGAAGGCGGCCUUCUGGACUGACACUGACGCUGAGGUGCGAAAGCGUGGGUAGCAAACAGGAUUAGAUACCCCUGUAGUC
rnacentral:rRNA from 1 species